rnacentral:rRNA from 1 species
CAGCUAUGUGUGGAACGGAUAAACGCUGAAAGCAUCUAAGCGUGAAGCCGCCUCCAAGAUUAGAUAUCCCAUGGCGUAAGCCAGUAAGGCCCCUUGUAGACUACAAGGUUGAUAGGCUGCGUGUGUAAGCACGGUAACGUGUUCAGCUUGGCAGUACUAAUAGGCCGAGGGCUUGACCAU